AGAUUGAACGCUGGCGGCAUGCCUUACACAUGCAAGUCGAACGGCAGCACGGGGGCAACCCUGGUGGCGAGUGGCGAACGGGUGAGUAACAUAUCGGAACGUGCCCUGGAGUGGGGGAUAACUAGUCGAAAGACUAGCUAAUACCGCAUACGAUCUACGGAUGAAAGUGGGGGAUCGCAAGACCUCAUGCUCGUGGAGCGGCCGAUAUCUGAUUAGCUAGUUGGUGGGUAAAGGCCUACCAAGGCAUCGAUCAGUAGCUGGUCUGAGAGGACGACCAGCCACACUGGGACUGAGACACGGCCCAGACUCCUACGGGAGGCAGCAGUGGGGAAUUUUUGGACAAUGGGGGCAACCCGUGGAUCCAGCAAUGCCGCGUGAGUGAAGAAGGCCUUGGUUGUAAGCUCUUUGUCAGGAAGAACGGACGGGCGUAAGUAUCUCCGU
rnacentral:rRNA from 1 species